UGAUGUCGUACUACUCGAGAAACAUGGCAACAACAGCCAUGAUCCAUCUCUGUCGAUGUGGUUGACAGUUUGACACUCACAACAUGGUACUCCCUCCUUCUAGAUGUACAGGUUUAUCUCCUAGCUGUGUAUGGAUGAAAUUGGGGAUCACAUGUUCGAUGCAUGUUAUGUAUCUCUGUACCCAUGGUAUUAAGCAUCAUUGGAGGUCAAUAGCCUAACGUAUUAAUCAGCGCACAUAGAGACAUGGCAAUGUGUUGGAUACAACCUCUAAUCACCUUCAUACUCAAGGUCGAUACAACCUCUAAUCACCUUCAUACUGAAGAUUAUUUCCGAGGCGGCGACAAGAAACAAUAUGGGCCUGCUGAAUACUUGCCGGCCUGAGAAGUUGCACAAGUACGUAGCCGAUUGAAAGCUGCUGGCCAAUGCUUUAGCCAGCAACACACACAUGUACGCAACCAGCUAUCCAAGAAGGCAGGUGGAUUGAUUCCGGCUGGCUGCAAACAAGCAGGCAAAACGCAGGCACACAACGUCGAUCAAAAUCUUGCUGAAACACAUGCACGCCGCACGCACACGACGCCUGUCAUUGGCUUGAGUAUUUAUUAUUACUCCGAUCUGAGUUUUACAAGGGGAAUGGGAUUACAUGGGUAUAUACAACAGCGAGGGAUGCAAUGACGUCAUGCCGAUUUUAAGAUUAUCUAACAAUUCAAACAUUAUUCAUAAAUAUCUUUGAAAUCGUCACAUUGUUAUCAUUAUUAUUAGUGCAGGCUGGAUUGAUAGAUGGCAGGUAGUAUAGUUCAACUUUGGCUACAUAAGAACGAACCAAUUGGUACAUCAUAUAUGCCAUGCAUUUGGGUGAUGACUGCUACAGACUCCCGAUGUUCUCUUUGAGUACUGACUACAUGAUUCCUAUUACUUUUUAAGGUUAGUUCCUUGAAUUUUCAGUGUUCAUUCUUCUGAAGAUUAAUAUCCAAUUUUUCAUGGCUAUCGCCUUCUUUUGAUUACUUCAUCAUUAACCUUAAAUACAAAUUUUAUGUGCCAAUUAAUUAAGUGAUGUAUAUUAUCCAAUUGAAAGCCUCUUUGUCCACCAACUACAUUUUCAGAAAACCAGACAAAACAUCACUACAUUUAGAACCCCUGUAUCAUGAAUUUCCCCAUUUGUUUUCUUUCACUCCAUAGUUUACUUAUCAUUAAGAAAUAAUGCCAAUCAGUUCCAACAUAAGAGUAGAUGUGUUGUGACAGGUGAUGAUCUAAGAGUAUUUUAAUAUUCCUCAUUCAGUGUGCACUUUUCCAAUUUCUAAUUUACUAUGUGUGUUCUGCAGUCUAAGAUGGAGGAUAUAUGGUCUUUAAUGUCAGCUUUACAAAACAUAUAUAUUCAUUGUUUAGACAACUUUUCGCAAGUUCGUUGCACAUUUCUAUCAAUAUGCUAUAUCAUUACAUCACUCACUAUAUUUUUUGAUGGGCCUUAAUGUGCUUGAUAUUCUUACUUUCGAGAUGUGCUAUAGCACAUAGCAAGUGGGUCGUUUUUACUUCCAGACGUUAAUCCACACCAAAAGAUUAGUCUAGCCUUUAGGAUUCUAAAUUUAAUGGUUAUGAUCUAUUAGAGCGCCGUUCUUUGAUUUGUAAAGCAAAUCACCCACGUCCAUGCAUACAUUAAAAGGAAUUAGACCUGCACAUAGGCCCUGCAACCUCAAGCCUAUCCUGAUUGAAAGAUCUAGAUGAUAUUCAACUAUAUUGUAAUUUCAUUUUUGAUAGUGUUUAAGAAACAAGGAUUACCGUCAGUGACCAAUUGACCAGCACAAUGUCAAUAAUAAGAAUUACGACAUAGUUUGCUUAGGAUACUUAGUUCUCAAUUUUCUUUAUGUCAACAUAUUGGUAGCUGAUGCGAUAAAAGGUGCCAGACAGGACAUUGGCGCAUCAAUCAUCGUUACAGCAGGUGUGCACAUCACAGCGGAGCUACAAGUUCAUUUUUCCAUGUUUAACAUAGAUCAGAUCUUCCCAGUGCAAGUACUGAGACAGGUUGUGCUGAGGUUUGCCCAUGUCGUCAACUGCAUGUUCUAGGAGAAUUUUUUUGUUGUACCUGAUACAGUACACUUCGAUGAUGAUAUCUUAGUCAACCUUUUGUUGCAGUUUUUAAUGAACAGAUAGACUUUCAUGAAAGAUACAUUACCUUUCAUCAAAAAAUGGAAUUCCAUUUAGACUGGAAAUAUUUAGCUUACAUGAUACAAAUCGAACCCUUAAUGUGAUCAGAUAUAUGUUUUAAGUUAUGUCCGUUUGCUCUCCAGUCACUGGUAUUCAGUUUUUCCAUCAAGUGUUGAUGAAACAGGGAGGAAACCCUAAACAAUAAUGGACUCACUAGCAUGUACAUGAUGUGUCCCUUUCUUAAACUGGACUGAAUGCUUCUUAUUAUAUUUUGUUCUGAGGAGUUGAUGGUCUGAUGUCUUAUAUGUUUAAUUGCUCUAUACUGACAUAAUUCUAUCAUGCAAAGGAUUGUAUAUUUUUUCAUCAAGUAACCCUUAUAGCCUCUCCUCUAAUAUGCGUGUGUGUUGUUACCUCUUUUUUCCUGCAUUUUAUUUUCUACACCACAAUCAAAUGUGAAUAUGUACGUUCUGCCUAUCCAUUAAUUAUUAAACUAAUCAUUUUCUAAUAUCCGCACAAUAUAUUUAUUAUGAAUAAUUUCUUUGAGAAAAUGCCAUUUGUUUACUCGCAAUAAUCAUUUACUUCACACAACAAAAUUAGAAUAUAUAAAACUCAGUCUGUAGAAGCUAUAGCUAUGUUUUACCUCGGAAGUAGUUGCCUGCUGGUGCACAUUUUUUAAUACCUACUUUAGAAUGUUAUUUAUCAAAUUUACAAAGCAUGGUUACGUGUACCUUUACUCCAAGGUCAUUGUUUCUCUUUUCUAAAACAAAAAUU